GCCAAAAGCCAGCCAACAAGAGAGAAACCGUCUUCACUUUCCCUUUCUCUCCCAGGGCACCCCAAAAGCCAUUGAUUAUUCAGUUUUAUAAACAUAGUCGUAACCUUUCUUGCAAGAUCUGUUUGAAGAAGCUAAUAGUUGAACCGUUUGGUGGCCUCUUCACACGUGAGUUCCUCUAUUUGUCUUAUUUCUUCAUAAAAUUAUAGUAAUUUUUGCUAGUUUAUUGCUACCGACAGCCAUCACCUACCGGGAGGUGACAGUCAUGUCCGGUGGGGGCUAGGUGAAUGUUGUUGUCCCUGGCCGACAGUUGUCCGAUGGGAUCAAACUCAUACAGAGGUGGACUCUCCUGGGAAGAAGAAGAUGGCUAAUAUUGCAGCUGUGAUUUCUAAAAUUUCAGAGGCCCUUAUGUGCCCUGCAAUACUAGGCAGAAAGAGCUGAGAUGAAGGACCAACUCUGGCUGGUAGAGGUUCUUCUAAGAAAAAAAAAAGGCCGCAUUGUCCUUCCCGGUAGGGCUGGCUUUGGGAACAAGAACCGGAUUUUAAGGUUAUUUUGAGAAAUUAAGGGAAUGAAGAUAAAAUUGCAGAGAAGGAAAUUAUAAACUAUAGAGAAAGCUACAACAAAUCAACGAAAUGGACCUUACAAUAAGAUGUUGAUAAGCUGAAUUAAAGCAUGAAGAAAAUGUUCAUAGAGCUUCAGAGAGGGCUUUCUAUAGACCCUUAGGAACACUACCUCGUCUUCCUCCGUAUCUCCCUCAAAUACUUAAGUAUCGACAUGUUUGGUAUACUAAAGAAGGUAAUCGAGUAUUGUGUACCGAGAAUUUCCUAUUAGUUGAAUUCCACAUUCAUCUAGAUAUGUCUCUCUGCCUUUACUACUACUAUAUUGGAUUUGAUUAGUUUUCGUUUGGCAUAGGCAAAAGGACUAAUGGCGUAAUUGGGAAUUAUUGUUAAGUAAAUUGGAAAUUGGAGACUAAUGACAGGUUCACCAUACUUUAUUCUUAUGAACCUGUGAUUGUGUGGGUGUAAUGUUGUGGACUCUAGAACUUCUAGCUGAAUUGGCUAUUUUGGAAAAUGAGGUUGUUUGACUCGAGGAACAGGUUGUGUAUUUUAGACAAGGUCUCUCUCAGGGAGAUGUUUACAUAGCGUCCCGAACAAAUUCAGAGGAUUCGAUCGGUUCAUUCAAUGAUUCGUUGAUUACUACUACAAGAGCUCAAGAUCUUUAUACCAAAUUUAAGUUAAUUCAGGUUCAUUCUUGGUAAUGCCCUCACAAUCUCUAACUACAUGUGCUUCUAGUCGAAGGUUAUUAUCAUUAGAUGGUGUUUUUAAUGGCACAAGGAAUUGCACAAAGAGGCCAGCAAAUGGAAAGCAAUCUAUAAAUAAAGCUAACAAAUCUUUGGAAGAUCCAUUAGUAAUCAAGGAUAGAUCUUGUCCAAAUAGAGACAUCCUGUGAAGCUUGAAUCAAUAGUAAAAUGUGUAAAUUCCCUGAAAAUGCAGGUAUUUUCUCAUUGGCAAUGUAGAUUAAACAAAUGUAUAUGUAAAGAAGCAAAAACUGAUUUUGAGUAUGAUGAUAUCUUUGCAGUGUAGAACUGUAGAACAGGAAAAGGAGGGGAGGUCUGGUUCUCAUUUGACAAAAUGUUUGAUGCUGAAAACGAGACAAAUAAAAGUAAACUUAGAUUAUUUAGUUUUAGAAAAAUUAGGUAGAGUUUUUCUAUGGUGUAGAUCUUUUUACCCCCUGAUAGUACAUUUUUACUUAACAUGAAGGUUUAGAUUUGGUGCUUCGUGUUUUUCCAACAAUGCACGCUGUGCUGCUAGAAGUCAAAAAUUUUUGCUCUAUGUUAGUGCAAAAGAAGGUCUGGUAAUUAUUUUUUCCUUUUGAUUUUUUUGCCACGAACUUGUGCGUUCAAUGUAACAGAGAUUUUGGCAUCGUAAUAUUUAUUUUAAACUUAUAAUAUCCCUUUUUGCAUUUAUGCAAAUGAUAUUCGGCAAGAAUUAUGGUGGAGGACUUAUUGUAUUUGCACCCAGACGUAUUUUCUAGUGGAGUACUGUAACUAUUCCACAAGGGCCAAUCAGAAUGUCGGUGCUGAUGGUUGCCACCAGUUCUGUGGAAGAGAUAGGUGGUGGUGGUGGUGGAAAUAAUAAGGAUGAGAAGGAAGGACAAUUUCAAAGAAAACCUAGGAGGAGUUGGUCAUCUAUGCUACAUAGAUAAUUCUUGCUAGCCCUUCAAAAACUUGGUGGUUCACACAGUAUAAUUUAUUAUCAAAUUAACUUUGACUAAGAUACAUGUGACUUCAUUUUUGCAUUGAUUGUUCUGGUUCAUCUUAUUAUACAGUUGCUACACCUAAACAAUUAAGGAUUUGAUGAAGGUUGACGGUCUAACAAAUUUUGAAGUAAAAAGUCAUUUACAGAAAUAUAGGCUACAUGGGUGACGACCAGGUCAUUUUAUUUAUUAUCACAGUCGACAAGCAUCACAGUACCUGGUGGUGGGAGGAGUCUAGGGGCCGUCACCUGAAUAUGAUGCUACAAUGGAUACAAAAACUACAGCCACCACUUGUAAUCAAAUCUAUGGGCCAAUUGCUUUUCGACUACCACCAUUACAAAGGCAGCAGUAUAACCAAUUUCACUCUGAUGACCAAGCUAGUCAUACUGAUGAUAGAACUCACUCUUGGUCCCUGGCCACCUCCUUCUCUAUGCAUUCAACCACAAUUCACACCCUAUUGAUUUUUCUCCUUGCAUAUUUGAUACAUAGUAAAAGACUACCCUGACAACAUGAUAAGAAAAAGUAUAGUCGUCAUUUUUUCUUGGGAAAUACCACUAUUUAAUUUAACUUACCUUUUUAUUUAUUUAUUUUUAUUUUUUGGAAGGAGAGGGGGGUGGGGUGGGGGGGUGGCUCUAGUCAUUUCGUAUAACCAUUUAGUAAAAUAUAAAGCCAAUGAGACCUUAUGUAUUUUCCAUAUUUAUUGAACUUCCAAUAUUAUGUUUUUUGAAAUUUAUAUGCAUUGGAGAAUGAUAUUAUAGCUCAGUAAGUGUUGUUGGAACUUCCCUGUUUACUGGAUAUUGUAAUAAUAAAUAUCAAUAUAAAGAAUAAACCCCCCUUAAAAUUCCA